CUUUUCAAAAUUGAAAUUUAUAUUUUGAGUUUUUUUAUAUAAAUUGACAUUUAAACUUGAAAUCUGACAUAGACUUAUAUCAUCCUGCUUUUGCUAUUGAUGUGUCCGCAACAUAGACAUGAAAGUAUAGAAGGGGAUCCAUACCCAGUCCCAUGUUCCAAUAACCUCUGUGGAGCAAUCUCACAACCAAUGAAAAGAGAGUUCAUACUUGUUCCAGCAGCAGCAGCAUCAUCAGUAGCAAUUGGUGAAAAAUCACUAGGCCCAUAAUAGAGUGUGUUGGUGGUCAAGGCAGCUUGUCUCUCUGCUUGAAGGAAAUGCUCAAGACAAGGAUAUUUAUUGUUAGUGGUACUGUUGACUGCAUCAGUGCUCAGUCUGGAGCAUAAUGAGACGAUCAUCCAAGGUUUUGGCUUGUUGAUGUACAUUUGU
rnacentral:lncRNA from 1 species